AGGGGUACCCGUGAGCUGCCAGUGACAAACUGCAGCAGACGUGCCCUCAUCUCGUUGUCAUAGCUCUCUGUGGCUUUCCAGAACCACUUGACGAUGUUUGUGUCUGCCGUGCAGUGUUUUAAUCGAGUGUGCAUUUUCCAGUCGUUAAGGUCAAUCUUGCCCAGGCCUCCAAUCAUCAACUGCAGAGCAACACCAGACAUGGUCAGUCGGUGAACAAGGAAUAUACACUAGCCAUGGUCAGUCAGUGAACAAGGAAUAUACACUAGCCAUGGUAAGUAAUGAACAAGGAAUAUACACUAGCCAUGGUCAGUCAGUGAACAAGGAAUAUACACUAGCCAUGGUCAGUAAGUGAACAAGGAAUAUACACUAGCCAUGGUCAGUCGGUGAACAAGGAAUAUACACUAGCCAUGGUCAGUAAGGGAACAAGGAAUAUACACUAGCCAUGGUCAGUAAGUGAACAAGGAAUAUACACUAGCCAUGGUCAGUAAGUGACCAAGGAAUAUACACUAGCCAUGGUCAGUAAGUAAACAAGGAAUAUACACUAGACAUGGUCAGUAAGUGAACAAGGAAUAUACACUAGACAUGGUCAGUAAGUGAACAAGGAAUAUACACUAGCCAUGGGCAGUAAGUGAACAAGGAAUAUAAACUAGACAUGGUCAGUCAGUUAACUAGGAAUAUACACUAGCCAUGGUCAGUAAUUUAACAAGGAAUAUACACUAGGCAUGGUCAGUAAGUGAACAAGGAAUAUACACUAGCCAUGGUCAGUAAGUGAGCAAGGAAUAUACACUAGCCAUGGUCAGUAAGUGAACAAGGAAUAUACACUAGACAUGGUCAGUUAGUGAACAAGGAAUAUACACUAGCCAUGGUCAGUAAGUGAACAAGGAAUAUACACUAGCCAUGGUCAGUAAGUGAACAAGGAAUAUACACUAGCCAUGGUCAGUAAGUGAACAAGGAAUAUACACUAGACAUGGUCAGUAAGUGAACAAGGAAUAUACACUAGCCCUGGUCAGUAAGUGAACAAGGAAUAUACACUAGCCCUGGUCAGUAAGUGAACAAGGAAUAUACACUAGCCCUGGUCAGUAAGUGAACAAGGAAUAUACACUAGCCAUGGUCAGUCAGUGAACAAGGAAUAUACACUAGCCAUGGUCAGUCAGUGAACAAGGAAUAUACACUAGACAUGGUCAGUCAGUGAACAAUGAAUAUACACUAGCCAUGGUCAGUAAGUGAACAAGGAAUAUACACUAGCCAUGGUCAGUAAGUGAACAAGGAAUAUACACUAGCCAUGGUCAGUAAGUGAACAAGGAAUAUACACUAGCCAUGGUCAGUAAGUGAACAAGGAAUAUACACUAUCCAUGGUCAGUAAGUGAACAAGGAAUAUACACUAGCCAUGGUCAGUAAGUGAACAAGGAAUAUACACUAGCCAUGGUCAGUAAGUGAAAAAGGAAUAUACUCUAGCCAUGGUCAGUAAGUGAAAAAGUAAUAUACACUAGCCAUGGUCAGUAAGUGAACAAGGAAUAUACACUAGCCAUGGUCAGUAAGAGAACAAGGAAUAUACACUAGCCAUGGUCAGUAAGUGAACAAGGAAUAUACACUAGCCAUGGUCAGUAAGCGAACAAGGAAUAUACACUAGACAUGGUCAGUAAGUUAACAAGGAAUAUACACUAGCCAUGGUCAGUAAGCGAACAAGGAAUAUACACUAGCCAUGGUCAGUAAGCGAACAAGGAAUACACACUAGCCAUGGUCAGUAAGUGAACAAGGAAUAUACACUUGACAUGGUCAGUAAGUGAACAAGGAAUAUACACUAGCCAUGGUCAGUAAGUGAACAAUGAAUAUACACUAGCCAUGGUCAGUCAGUUGACAAGGAGUAUACAAGAGCCAUGGUCAGUAAGUGAACAAGGAAUAUACACUAGCCAUGGUCAGUAAGUGAACAAGGAAUAUACACUAGCCAUGGUCAGUCAGUGGACAAGGAGUACACAAGAGCCAUGGUCAGUCAGUGAAGAAGGAAAUUAUACAACUGAAAAUCUUCAGGACAACUCAAUAGAUACUGCUCAUUGCAGGAACAUAACUUAAUUUUAAAAUGAAAUCUCAACAAAAUACAUUGUUAUAUCAUGUUUAAUAUACAAAUAAAUAUAUUGAACAUA